CUCUGAUCUCAAAUCAGGCAGGACUACCCGCUGAACUUAAGCAUAUCAAUAAGCGGAGGAAAAGAAACUAACAAGGAUUCCCCUAGUAACGGCGAGUGAAGCGGGAAGAGCUCAAAUUUAAAAUCUGGCAGUGUAUUCUGUCCGAGUUGUAGUCUAGAGAAGCAUCAUCCGCGCUGGACCGUGUACAAGUCUCCUG
rnacentral:rRNA from 6 species